rnacentral:rRNA from 1 species
AGAGUUUGAUCCUGGCUCAGGAUGAACGCUAGCGGCAGGCUUAAUACAUGCAAGUCGAGGGGCAGCAGGUUUGUAGCAAUACAGAUGCUGGCGACCGGCAAACGGGUGCGGAACACGUACACAACCUUCCUUUAAGUGGGGAAUAGCCCAGAGAAAUUUGGAUUAAUACCCCGUAACAUUAUGAUGUGGCAUCACAUUAUAAUUAUAGCUCCGGCGCUUAAUGAUGGGUGUGCGGCUGAUUAGAUAGUUGGCGGGGUAACGGCCCACCAAGUCUGCGAUCAGUAACUGGUGUGAGAGCACGACCAGUCACACGGGCACUGAGACACGGGCCCGACUCCUACGGGAGGCAGCAGUAAGGAAUAUUGGUCAAUGGACGCAAGUCCGAACCAGCCAUGCCGCGUGGAGGAUGAAGGUCCUCUGGAUUGUAAACUUCUUUUAUAUGGGACGAAAAAGGGCCUUUCCAGGUCAACUGACGGUACCAUAUGAAUAAGCACCGGCUAACUCCGUGCCAGCAGCCGCGGUAAUACGGAGGGUGCAAGCGUUAUCCGGAUUCACUGGGUUUAAAGGGUGCGUAGGUGGGUUGGUAAGUCAGUGGUGAAAUCUCCGAGCUUAACUUGGAAACUGCCAUUGAUACUAUCAGUCUUGAAUAUUGUGGAGGUUAGCGGAAUAUGUCAUGUAGCGGUGAAAUGCUUAGAUAUGACAUAGAACACCAAUUGCGAAGGCAGC